rnacentral:snRNA from 1 species
CUGCUCCAGGCAGGGGAGCUACCAUGAUCACGAAGGUGGUUUUCCCAGGGCGAGGCUUAUCCAUUGCUCUCCGGAUGUGCUGACCCCUGCGAUUCCCCCACAUGUGGGAAACUCGACUGCACAAUUUGUGGUAGUGGGGGACUGCGUUCACGCUCUCCCCUC